UACGUAGGGCGCGAGCGUUGUCCGGAAUUAUUGGGCGUAAAGAGCUCGUAGGCGGCUUGUCGCGUCGGUUGUGAAAGCCCGGGGCUUAACCCCGGGUCUGCAGUCGAUACGGGCAGGCUAGAGUUCGGUAGGGGAGAUCGGAAUUCCUGGUGUAGCGGUGAAAUGCGCAGAUAUCAGGAGGAACACCGGUGGUGAAGGCGGAUCUCUGGGCCGAUACUGACGCUGAGGAGCGAAAGCGUGGGGAGCGAACAGG
rnacentral:rRNA from 1 species